rnacentral:tRNA from 1 species
CGGGCUGUAGCUCAGUAGGCUAGAGCGCCUGGUUUGGGACCAGGAGGCCGUGGGUUCGAGUCCCGCCAGCCCGACCA